UACGAAGGGGACUAGCGUUGUUCGGAAUCACUGGGCGUAAAGCGCACGUAGGCGGAUGUGUCAGUCAGGGGUGAAAUCCCGGGGCUCAACCUCGGAACUGCCUUUGAUACAGCACGUCUCGAGUCCGGAAGAGGUGGGUGGAAUUCCUAGUGUAGAGGUGAAAUUCGUAGAUAUUAGGAAGAACACCCGUGGCGAAGGCGGCUCUCUGGGACGGUACUGACGCUGAGACGCGAAAGCGUGGGGAGCGAACAGG
rnacentral:rRNA from 1 species